GCAGUUUGAAGGCUUUGAUAGCCUGUUUUAAUGAUGCAAUGUCUCCUUCAAGAUAGUGUUGCAAUUUCCCCACUGUAUAGACGAUAAAUAGUAGCUCCAUCUCAUAAACUGAUAGAAUUUGUUUGUUCGCAGAUAAAGCCUCACUAAUAAGCAAUGGGGUGCACCUCUUUGCAUUAGUACAGCUCCUAUUACGCACCCACUGGCAUCAGUUUCAAAAAUAAUUUCCUUAAAAAAAUCAUGUAAAGCCAACAUAGGGGAAGUCACCAUCAAACUGCUACACAUAUGAAUAUUUUUACCACUUAAAGGCAUAAUUAAAAGAACUGCAAAAGGUUCAU
rnacentral:misc_RNA from 1 species